rnacentral:rRNA from 1 species
AUUGAACGCUGGCGGCAUGCCUUACACAUGCAAGUCGAACGGCAGCACGGGAGCUUGCUCCUGGUGGCGAGUGGCGAACGGGUGAGUAAUACAUCGGAACGUACCCAGUAGUGGGGAUAACGCACCGAAAGGUGCGCUAAUACCGCAUACGACCUACGGGUGAAAGCGGGGGACCGUAAGGCCUCGCGCUAUUGGAGCGGCCGAUGUCUGAUUAGCUAGUUGGCGGGGUAAUAGCCCACCAAGGCGACGAUCAGUAGCUGGUCUGAGAGGACGAUCAGCCACACUGGGACUGAGACACGGCCCAGACUCCUACGGGAGGCAGCAGUGGGGAAUUUUGGACAAUGGGGGCAACCCUGAUCCAGCAAUGCCGCGUGUGCGAAGAAGGCCUUCGGGUUGUAAAGCACUUUUGUCAGGGAAGAAAUCUUUCAGGCUAAUACCCUUGGAAGGAUGACGGUACCUGAAGAAUAAGCACCGGCUAACUACGUGCCAGCCGCCGCAGUAA